AACGUAGGACACAAGCGUUAUCCGGAGUUACUGGGCGUAAAGAGCGCGUAGGCGGUUUGUUAAGUCUGCUAUGAAAGCACCUGGCUAAACUGGGUGAGGCUGGCGGAUACUGGCAAGCUAGAGUGAGACAGAGGCAGAUGGAAUUCCGCGUGUAGUGGUGAAAUGCGUAGAGAUGCGGAGGAACACCAGUGGCGAAGGCGGUCUGCUGGGUCUCAACUGACGCUGAGGCGCGAAAGCGUGGGGAGCGAACGGG
rnacentral:rRNA from 1 species